CCCUUAGAUGUUCUGGGCCGCACACGCGCUACACUGAAGGAGGCAGCGUGUACUCCUGGAUCGAAAGAUUUGGGUAACCCGCGAAUCUCCUUCGUGCUAGGGAUUGAGGUUUGCAAUUAUCCUUCAUGAACGAGGAAUUCCCAGUAAGUGCAAGUCAUAAGCUUGCGCUGACUACGUCCCUGCCCUUUGUACACACCGCCCGUCGCUACUACCGAUUGAAUGAUUUAGUGAGGACUUCGGACUGGGACCGAUGCGGCUUUCGGGCUGCGUCGGUAUUCUGGAAGGAUGUCCAAACUGUAUCAUUUAGAGGAAGUAAAAGUCGUANCA
rnacentral:rRNA from 1 species